CUCCCCACUCACCAUUUCCAAGCUUCCUUUUCACCGUUUUCUGCAGAAGCAAUCUCAGUUUAUUUUAAUUUUCUGCUUUCUGAUCCCUUUGAUGAGGGAAGAAGAAGAAGGGGUAUCGGGAAAUAUAAGGAAUUGUUGUUGGGAUUGGGAUAGAAGCGAUGGAGAGUCCAUAUUCUGCGCCGCCGCAUGUGGAUGCAUCUCGGCCGUCACUGGGCUUCCCUCUCGGCACGGCGCUGCUCUUGAUCGUCAUCUUCACCCUCAGCGGCGUAUUCUCCUGCUGUUACCACUGGGACAAGCUCCGCUCCCUCCGUCGCUCUUUCGCCGACGCCUCGCCCGCCGACGGUGAUGAUGGGCCCCGCAAGCCUGUUCUCGCACAACCGGAUUUGAAGCAAAAUCAGAGCUUGACUUUGCCGGUAGUAAUGCCGGGGGAGCAUGUGCCGAGGUUCUUGGCAUUGCCGUGUCCCUGUCAGCCGCCGCGGGCGGAGAGGAUCGUUGUGGAGGUGCAGAAGCCUCCGCCUCCGCCGCCGAAGCCUCUCCGGGGAGCUGAAGCGGUGCCGUUCUAUUAGACCGGCAACCGGGACACGCAAUUGGGAACCGGGAAAUUCCCUUCUUUCGCCAGAAUCGGAACAGACAGGUGUCAUCGUACGUUGUUGAAUUGAUUCUCGAAGAUACGGCGAAAGAUUUCGGUAUUUCACUGUCGGAGGCUAACCGUUUCGCUUCACCAAGAGUGUUGACGUCAUUUUAGUGAUUUGAUAAGUCAUAAUCUGGGAUAUCUAGAGCUGGCCUGGUAGUGCCCGCAGUCGCAUCGUCAGUCCACUUCAAAGGUUGUUCCAACAUCAGGAGGACUAGAAUCGAAUACCACAAUCUCCUCCAUUCCACACAGCAUCAUCACUGUUGUACAACAUACCACUCUAGGACAUUUUGUCUCCCCAACGCAUAUUAAACUUGCCCACAAUGGUAAGAUGCCCUUGCUUUUCGCGACUGACAGAUAAUGAAAAGGUAAAUUAUGUCUUUCCAACGCAUAUUAAUCUUGCCCACAAAGGCAAGAAUGCAAGAUGCCCUUGCUUCGCACGACUGACUGAUAGAUAAUAAAAAGGUAAAUUAUGUUGAUAUUUCCAACGCAUAUUAACCUUGCUCACAAAAGCAAGACGCCCUUGCUUCCUAGGACUGACAGAUAAUAAAAAGAUAAAUUUUGUUGA